rnacentral:lncRNA from 1 species
AUCUCACGAGGACAUCUAGACCAGCCUGCUGCUCCAAGAAGGGUCAGACGUGCUAACAGGGAACAGUUUUUAAAUGGAAGCAAGAAAGGUUUUAGUCCUAAAUCACGUGGACUUUGUUGAGGCAAACGUUAAAGAGAAGGCCAGUGCCAGGCUCAUCUAAUUGGAGGAGGGUGUGUGGGCUGCUGAAAUUGUAGUGACACACACACUAGGCAGCACUAAUGGAAGGUGAUGGAGAACUGAAACCCCUUUAGGCUACCUUUACCCCUAUCAAGAUGCAUAUUUUUAAAUGCAUGUUUGUUCCCCUUUGUUUGUUUUUCUUAAUGCAAGUUUCCAACAAGCAAUAAUUUUAGCAGCUUCACGUAAGGGCAUUUUUGGAUAAACAAGCAGAAAAAUGACAAAUGGCAGAAUGUUCUGUACUCUUGGAGAUCAGAGCACAGGAAGAGACUUGCAUAACAAUAACUGAGCAGGUUCACGCUUUGUAAGCAGCACCCGAGCUCAGAAGUGAUUAUAGGAGACUUCAAGUUGGGAUGGGCCUCUGGGGCCUCAUCUGAUUCUCCUCCUGCGCAAAGUAGGGUCAGCUGCAAGAUCAGAUCAAGUUGCCCAGGGCUGUAUCCUAGCUGAUCUUCAAAAUCUCCAAAGAUGGAGAUUGCAUAACCUCUCUGGGCAGCCUGUUCCACUUCUUGACUGCCCUUGUGGUGAAAGCACUUCCCCUAGGAGGAGAGGCUGAGGGAGCAGAGCUGGUUCAGCCUGGAGAGGAGAACGUUUGGGAGGGACCUAAUAGCAGCUUGCCCGUGCCUACGAGGAGGUUAUCAAGAUGACAGAGGUAUCCUGUGCUCUUGUUCAUACAGCCCAGGGUGCUGGUGGCUCUUGGCUGCCAGCACAUGUGCGUGGCUGACGUCCGGCUGCUGCUCCCCAAGAACCACCCAGCGCCUUUUCAGCAACGCUGCUCUACAAGCAGCAGGCCCCAGUCUGUCUCAUGGCCAAGCUUCAUCCUUCCCUGGUGUUCACACACAGACUAUGAAUUGAAUUUGAACUCACCGGAAAGUAUCUACAAGGCCUGAUGAUCUAGUUAAGUGAAACGAAAUCCUACUUUUGAGACACGAGUCCUGAAAGAAUGAAGUGCCUUUCUCCUAAAUACAACAAGGUUUGUCAUUUCAUUUUCUAUAUUAAACAGUACCAGCACUACUAGAGUCACAACGACAGAACUUUGUGCAAAACGUUAAAGGUUAGCAGAAGGAGCACAGGUCAAACUCAGCCUGUAUGCUACGGCUUUUUCUAAGAAGCCAGCGAAAACUAAAACUGGCAAAGAGUUUUGAAGCCCCCAAACACACAAAAAAAGCCUGAUAACGCCACGAAGAGGCGGUAUUAUGGUGAUCAGCAAACAGGCAAGCGUGGGACUGCACGCACAAGGGCAAGAGUAUUGAGUAACAAAUGAGGC